rnacentral:rRNA from 1 species
AUUGAACGCUGGCGGCAGGCCUAACACAUGCAAGUCGAGCGGAUGAAGGGAGCUUGCUCCUGGAUUCAGCGGCGGACGGGUGAGUAAUGCCUAGGAAUCUGCCUGGUAGUGGGGGAUAACGUCCGGAAACGGGCGCUAAUACCGCAUACGUCCUGAGGGAGAAAGUGGGGGAUCUUCGGACCUCACGCUAUCAGAUGAGCCUAGGUCGGAUUAGCUAGUUGGUGGGGUAAAGGCCUACCAAGGCGACGGUCCGUAACUGGUCUGAGAGGAUGAUCAGUCACCCGGGAACUGAGAAACGGCCCAGACUCCUACGGGAGGCAGCAGUGGGGAAUAUUGGACGAUGGGCGAAAGCCUGAUCCAGCCAUGCCGCGUGUGUGAAGAAGGUCUUAGGAUUGUAAAGCACUUUAAGUUGGGAGGAAGGGCAGUAAGUUAAUACCUUGCUGUUUUGACGUUACCGACAGAAUAAGCACCGGCUAACUUCGUG